UGAUUAGAACAUAGCAUUAAUGCAUCGGAUCCCAUUAUAACUCUGCAGUUAAGCAUGCUCGAGCUAGAGUAGUACUGGGAUGGGUGAAUUUCUGGGAAGUCCUAGUAUUUUACAUGC
rnacentral:rRNA from 1 species